GAGCCAGGCUUGUCCUCAUGCCAACGCACUAUCUAUCCUGUGUCACUUAUCUUCUAACACAGAAAGUGAGGGUGGGACAAUGUCUUCCGUUUAACUGUACACUGUAAUGGAAUGGUGAAGAUCUAGGACCUUUUAAGAUGACCUGGGCAAAAGAGAUGUGAGCUGCUCUGACACGCUGACAGCUGAUCUGCCUCCUCACGCCACCGACAUGGACACAUUCACUCACCAGCGGAGGCCGAUAACUCGCUCCUGCAGUGUUGGGGACACACUGAACAGGAGCGCCACUUUCCACGCUUUAACUCAACCCUCACACCACCAGGAUGAGGAGGGCUCGCCACGACGACGCAUAACCGUUGGUGAGUCUAGUAUCACAACAUCGUGGAGGUUUUUUGUAGUUGAUACUAUUGUUACGGCUCAUUUAUAAUACAAACUGUUUUUCAUGCCUUUCCUGCAGCAUCAUAUAUGCCUCAGUCUAAGGAUCAGAAUGGAAACUUCCCUGAGAAGGACACAGACAAGCAAGUGGCCAAAUCUCUCAGGGAGCUGAACACAGAGGAAGUCUGCCACUGGUUUACGAGUAUUGGACUGGAGAAAUGUCUCCCUUCCAUCAGAGAAGCAAAACUGUGUGGAGCAGACAUCGCUUCGGUGGAUGUGAACACUCUGGACAUCCUUCACAUCGCAACACUGGAAGAGAGGGAGCAGCUACUGUCGGCCAUUUAUAAUGAGCUACACCCUCCCACCAGCACCACCAAAAGAAUUGACUCCCUGCUUGAAUUUUUAGGCAAUAAUAACGUUGAGACAUUCACUGCGACACUGGCAUCAAUGAGCAAGUCGAAGUCUUCUCCUCAUGUGAGCUGCCUGAGCAUGAAUCGACGUUCCCUGAAACUCAGAAACAACAGCCAAAACUCCACUGGACAGAGGAAUCCUCAGAUGAUAGAGAUUACUAUCAACGCGUCAGAGCGGAUAGUUCAUCUCAGAACCCCAAAGGAAACCACGGUGGGAAAAAUCAUGGACUCGUGCAUCAAAAUGUUGGGAAUGACAGAGGAUAAGAGUCUCUUCAUACUGAAAGAAACGCAAGAGUCAUCAGAGGAGCUUCCACCAGAUCAGCAGAUUGGGAGUCUGCUGACAUCGAAGUCAGAGAACAGACAAUUGGAGCUGCAUUUGUGCAAAACAGAGAAGUCAACAGGGACGUCUUCUCAAAAUAAUCCAGAGGUCAGCUCUGAUGAGAACAGCAACAUCAAUAAAAAUGUCCAGGUGAACCAGCCAGCUAAAGAAGAGAGGAUCAGGGAGCUAAACCAACAGGUGGACUCGCUACAAAAUGUCAUCCUUCAGGUCCAGGAGCUCCACCACGGCCUGGUAGCAUUUUGCUCAGAGUUAAAGAGCAUGGAUGGAGACGUGAAUGCAGACAGGCUUGGCUCUGCUGAGCUGAAGCUGAGGCUGGAGCUGGUUAAAAGCCAACUGAACGACAAGAGGCAGAGCCUGCAGGCCCUCAGAGACAAUAUCAACAACUCUGCUGCUCACAAGAAGAAGCCGCUGGAUGUUCGUCUCUUGGAAAAGAUGAAGCUGAACUGCCAAGUGUUUAAGGAGGAGAUUUCCAUGGUACACCUCAACCGACAGGUGGCUCACCUCCAGAACGCUUUGCAAGAAAGCUACGUCAAGGAGAAAUCUCGAAAAAAGACUUUGGACGUCUGCAGCCUGAGCCAACUUGUGUCCCUGCAGUCCCCGGCCAUGCUGCUGGUCGUACAGGAGAGCCGAGACCCUGAUGGUCAUUAUGGCUUCAUGUGUCGCUACAAAGACGGAAGUGGACUGGUGGUGGCCAAGGUAGACAACUCUCAACUCUGUGUGGAUGACAGGUAAGACUCAAGCACAUACCAAAGAUUUUGAAACCAAGUCAUUUAUCCAGACUUAAUGGCAAUUACUUGAUUAGUGUUCACAUCGGCCACCUAGUCAGUGAGAGUAGUAUUCAUCCAAUGGAUUUCUUUCAUCGCUGUUAUUGUUCUGUGCUUUGUAGCUAUGGAGACCCGUCUGAUGUUAGCUCCAGAACAAGCAAACAGUGUACUGUAACAUUUGGAUGCAGAAUAAAGUGAAAAAAGGAGCAGAUAAAGAGCUUAUAAUUAAGCAAUUACUGCAGUGUAACAAGUACAUACUUAGAUACACAGCGCUCUCAAAUUUAAUGGGUAAUCACACACAAAGUGCAGAUGACAUGCCUCUUUGAGACAACCCUGCCAGAGAAAGACGAGUCUGCAUGACAGCGCAGAGGCAGAACCACAGAAGCUGAGAAGAGUCUUUGAGCUUCACUGUGUGUGUUCACUUAUCACAGCAUCUGUGCCAAUGCUCUUUACACAGCUAAUGAAAAAACACAAAGGGUUGCUAUUUCCCUGUCAGUUCUAUCCAGCUGGCUAUAAAUAAAAACUAAUGAAGGGAAUUUUUAAUGAGCUCUGCGCAAAGGUGAUGGUUUUAAUAUUUCAUGCUCUGUGAUUUGUGAAUUCUUUGAUAUUAUUUGUUGCUUGUUAUAUGAGAAUUGAAUCGGCCCAGCCUUUACCUGAGGGGGAAACCUCACAAAUAAACUGUUUUUAAAAAAAUAUAUAUUUUGAAAGAGCUGGGAGAUCAUUUCCCUGCCUGCUUUUUGGUAAUACAUUUUAAGUUCAGUAUAUUCUUUAUAUUAUUUGACUUGAUCGAUUACUUUGUCUGUUUGAUAUGUUGUAUUUGUUUGUGUGUGUCUGUGUGUGUCAUUGGCCUUAUAGACUGGUAGAGGUGAACGGCAUAUCAGUGGUCAACUCUACACAGGAAGAACUGACUGACAUCCUCCUGCAGGGACCAAGCGCUCAAAUUGUCGUCCUUCGCCAGCCCCCACCCAUCCUCACCUCCCAGCAGCGCCCCCUGCUCCCGCAGCACACAGCCCGCCCUGAUCCCAUUCAAACGAUCUGCCCAGAGAGGGAUGUGGUCACCAUGGAAACCCCUCCAUGUCGCAGGGUGAUGGCCAUCUGAUGACAGGAGAUUAAGACAGAGACAGAGGGAGAAACAGUGGUGAUGAGGAUGGAUAUAAGGGUUUCCACUAUUUUGAUGUCUGUCUAUAGGCUGACCCAUGAUGUUAAAUGCCAAUGCCAUCUCUCAUUAGUUAUUUACCUCCAUCCGUCAAACUGUAAUGAUAAAAAUGUUCUUUAUGGAUUGCUGCCAAAUGCCUUUUUGUUAGGAAUGUCAAAUUGUGAUGUGUUUUUGUGUUUUUAAAUGUCGCCACAUGUGCAUAACUUUGUUCUUGGUAGAUAGUAGACGUAUCCACCAUAUUGUUUCGAUGUAUGUAGGCAGAACAAUGACUAUGGAAAACAUAUUUCUGGACAAAAAAAACACAAAAAAACACAAAGGCUACAUUCAUUUCUUUUUUUUCUAAUCCUUCCUGUUUUAUAUCAUAUUUGUGGCAUGAGGGAAAAUGAAAAGUAAAAAAAGAAAAAGAAAGGUUGAGAGGCUGAUAGAGCAUUGCUCCACUGGAUACGUGAUAAGCAUUUCUUUUUUAGCAUCCAACCGAGUAUUUCGGUAAGGUACAACAAUAUGAGCCUGAUGAGGGCUCAGGAUGCUUUACCUUUUUGAAGUACAGAUAGAAUCCAGAUAGAGUCAAACAAUGUCAAACUACAGUGACGUAGCGUAAAGACACGUCCGAAAGCUUUGAACCCUAUCUGUCUCUCCAUGCAGAUUAGACACUAAGAUGGUCGGGAACACUGAUGAGAGCAGAACAUGUCUUAAAAAAUGAGUCACGUCUCCCCUUUGUAUGCUGUAAUGUAAUCCACUGUGCUGUAGGAAUAAACCCUUGGGCCCGGAAAUGCCUCAUUUCUCAGCCUUGUUCUCCCUCCUUAAGUGGCAGUGGAUCAUGCAAGUCCGACAGAAAGACAGCACAAACACUACCAAACCAUGACCCAGACCCCUGGGGUCCAAAGAGCCUGAGAGGAGAAGUGAUGAGACCAGUUUGGCCUGUCAGCUGAUGAGAAAGGUCACAGGUCAGCCACCAAUACAGUUGUGCAUUAAUGGUUUUGCAAUCAAAGGCAAAUGAGUUCCAUAUAAUCCCGAUGAUGAGAGGGAUGGUAUUUUCUGGUUGCCAAACAGACCCACAGGGAGGGAGGAGUAUGAUACAGGGAGGCUGGAGAUUUGAGAGACUUAGUCGCAGACAUGGGAAAUUGAAGUCAAGUGCCACAAUGUUCAUUUACCCACUGACACUGAUGAAUCAUAAUGAUAUAUCUCAGGAUACGUAACAAUAUAGACAGAACUGAGAGACACAGACAGGAAGAGAAGAAGAAAAAACCUGACAAUGAUGAUGAUACUAAUUAUCAAAAUAACCAUACAGCAGGGACCAAGGCCGAUCCGGUCUCGUCUUUCAUGCAGCAGAGAGAGGCAGGCGUAGACAUUCAUAGCUCAAUAGAGUAAAGCCACACAGAGUGAGAAGGCAGAGGAGAGAAUGUGUCAUGGCUGCCUUUAUGGAAAUAAAUUAACACUGGAGAAAAUGAGACAAAAUCCUAUAAACACUGCCGCUGGCAAGAGUAGAAAGACACCGUGGGAUUCCCAGUGACCAACACACCCCAGAACACACACUCGCAGGCUUUGAUACUUCAGCUAUAAACCACUUGCAAGUUGUCAAUCUGAAACGCAGAAGAAAUCCAUCUGGGUGAGUAAUUGAAGUGACACCAUGAAACCUUCAAAACUUUUCAAACGAGGCAGCCAAAUCGAGAGGAUGAACCGCAGGAC
ensembl:lncRNA